GACGAACGCUGGCGGCGUGCCUAAUACAUGCAAGUCGAACGGACAGUUUAUACCGUAGCUUGCUACACCAUAGACUGUGGGUUGUGAACGGGUGAGUAUCGCGUAGUUAUCCUGGCUUGUAGCGGGGGAUCACUAUUGGAUACGAUAGAUAAUAAUGCAUAAUAUUGAUUGUUGGAUGAUAAUUAAUCGAAAGGUGCAAUUGCAGCACCAUCUGAUCUUGUUGCGUUGUAAUAGCUCGUAGGUGAGGUAACGGCUUACCUAGGCGACGAGGCAUAGCCGCCCUGAGAGGGUGAGCGGCCACAAUGGGAUUGAGGCACGGCCCAGACUCCUACGGGAGGCAGCAGUAGGGAGUGUGCGGGAAUGGACGAAAGUCGGACAGAGCAAGGCCGCGUGAGUGAAGAAGGUCUUCGGAGCGUAGAGCGCUGUUGUAUUGGAAGAACGGGUGUGAGAGUGGAAAGUUCAUACUGUGACGGUAUCUGAACAGAAAGGGCCGGCUAACUACGUG
rnacentral:rRNA from 1 species